GCACGAGUGGCCAAGUGGCUAAGGCGUCGCACUUGUAAUGCGAAGAUCGGGGGUUCAAUUCCCCUCUUGUGCA